UCAUGGGGCGCAGCCUGAUCUAGCCAUGCCGCGUGAGUGAUGAAGGCCUUAGGGUUGUAAAGCUCUUUCCCUGGGAAUGAUAAUGACAGUACCCUUUAAAAAAACCCCGGCUAACUCCGUGCCACCACCCCCGGUAAUACAGAGGGGGUUAGCGUUGUUCGGAAUUACUGGGCGUAAAGCGCGCGUACGCGGACUGCUUAGUUUCAGGUGAAAUCCCGGGGCUCAACCCCGGAACUGCCUUUAAAACUCUGUUUCUAUAGUUCGAGAGAGGUGAGUGGAAUUCCCAGUGUAUAGGUGAAAUUCGUAUAUAUUCGGAGGAACACCACUGGCGAAAGCGGCUCACUGGCUCGAUACUGACACUGACGUGCGAAAGUGUGGGGAGCAAACAGGAUUAUAUACCCUGGUAGUCCACACCGUAAACAAUGAAUGCCAUUCGUCUGGUUGCUUGCAACUCGGUGAGUGUCCUAACCGAUUAAUCAUUCCUCCCGGGGAGUACGGUCGCAAGAUUAAAACUCACACGAAUUGACUGA
rnacentral:rRNA from 1 species